UGAUCACCAAGUCAGCAGGCAGCAGCAUCCUGAAACAGCAAUUGGAUGCUCUUACACCGGUCUAGGCAUUUCAGUGACACAUUGAGCUACCUGGAGAUCAUAUGUGACAAAUUGUAAGAACAAAAUAACCCAGUCCUACCAACCCA
rnacentral:sRNA from 1 species